GCAUCAUAUUUGGCACAUUAGGAAUUUAUUUUUGCAAUUUACUGAUUAAAAAAUGUUGAAAAUAACCAAAUAAAAACACACAAAUCACAUUUUUUAACCAGUAAAUUGCAAAAAUAAAUUCCUAAUGUGCCAAAUAUGAUGC